GUACCGCUGGUAACGAAGGAGGACGUGUGAAGCCAGGUCUUGUCAUGCUACAGCCCCCUGCUCCUCCAGCGCCGAGGCCGCCGUCAGCGCGACACGUCACAGCCCGAGAGCGGCAGGAAAACGCGGAAGGGUUCAAACGCGGGCCCAGCAGAAGAUAAGACACGAGAAUGUCAGCACGUGACCGGAGGAAAUAACCUGCACAGAACAAUCGGCAGGUCGUGGAGCUUCAAAGACUCACUCUUGGCUUUGCUGAGGUGCAGGGAAUGGUCAGAGACGGGCACGCGGAACGCCUCUCCGGGGUAGACGUGUCCUCCAGCGUAGUUGUGGCAUUGGGAGUUUUUGCCUUCUUCUGCAGACGCGACGGUGCCCAGCAGGAGCAGAGCGGCCAGCAGAGCGCAGAGGAACUCCUUCAGGGUGCAGGGCAGACAGGACUCCAUGAUGGAGAAUCAACAAACACGUAGCGGCAGAUGAGGAGGAAGGAACUGGGAGGAACGCCUUCUGGAGUCUUCUUCUUCGUGGGAUCAUUUCAGGGAAGCGGGACUACUGAUUGGAGCACCACUGCCACCGUGUGGACUUCAUUAAAACAGCAGUCUGGAGCCACUAUGGUAGAUCAAUGGGUGACGUCAGAGAUGAGUCUUCCAUCUGUGACUCUUUAGCCUUAAAGAAAAAUUCUAAUAAAUUUGUUAAUUAAAUUUUGUAAUUUAAGUUUUUUAUUUUUUGAUGAGGUGGUCUCAUAUUAGUAAAAUAAACCUUUUUUGUUAACCAUUCAUGGCCUUGCAUGCUUUAUUAAUCCUCCAAAAUACCAGGCAGUCAUGUUAAAUCUAUUGCCAGAACUAUUUAGUAUUACAAUAAGUUUCAAACACACUAGGAGAACUUAAAUUAAGUCUAUAGAAUUACAUUAUACUGACUGCAAAUAAAUCUGCUGCAUCAUGUUUGAGAGUAUUUUAUUUUGAAAUGAACUUGUGUGCUGCUGUCAGAAUAAACUCUUCUUGACUUUAUAGUUAAGAACCAUUAUAUUUAAGUAAUAGUACCGUUAAUGUGUAUUGUAUGUAUUACUGAAAAAAAUCUCUAUUUAUGGACAUGAGAAUUGACAUUUUUAAGAGGAUGGAUACUGUCUUUUUACAUUUUUAUUUUUUACUCUUUGUUUUUUAAUCAAUACUUCACUUUAUUUCUUAAAUGAGUUUGAUACAUCUGUGUGAGUUCUUGUCGAAUAAUCUACAAUUAAAACUAUUUCAAAUUGGAAUAAAUUAAAAAAUCAAAACCAAUUGUUUCUUGAAUUCAUUAAAAAAAUGAACAUGCUUACAUUUGAAAAAUGACAAGGGGGCCUUCUUAGUUGUUUUUAAUUUGCAUUUAAAAUUAAAGUAUAAUGAGGGUGUUUUAACCAUUAAAUGUGUACAAUGAAAGCACAGAGACAAUUAUAUCUUCCAAUCUUUUUAUUCUCCCCAUAAUGUAACCGUUUUUCCCAAAUAUUCACAUCACAGCCACUUCAAGUUGAACUUGAACUGAUAUGAAAAAAAUAAACAUUUUGUAUUAAGAACUCUUUUUUCUGCUUCUAUAGUCUCACUAAGGGUUUCAUAAAAUGUUCAACAUGAACCUGUCUUUAAAAAAAAAAGGUUUUUAUUAAACUAUUAAUGUGAAAUUCAAAGUCAGCUACAGAAGGGCUAAAAACAUAACACCUCAUGUCUCUUAGGUUUGAAAAGGAAAAUUCACAUAGAUGUAUGUACAUCAGUUAUCUGCCAUAACCAUGUUUACAUUUCCUGCUGUUGCUAUGGGGAAUUCAAUGACAUUUUUUAAAAUAUUAACAACAAAAACACUGAUUGAGCUUUAAAUUUGGGUUUUUUCAAAUUAACUUAGAUGUAAACAGCCCAGUCCUGCUUCAGAACCUCAUUCUUUCUCUUCAUAGCUGCAGGUCUGUCAGGCACAUCUUUGGUUUGGCAAAAUAAAUAUAUGUAUGUGUUUUCAUCCCCCCUUUUUAUACACAAAAAGAAAACACUGUUUUUUUCAAAAUGACUAGCAUUCCUAUGCUGCCUUUUCUCAUGUCUCUGUUUAUUCUUUAGUCCCCAUGGAUACAAAGUCAAGUAAAAUAUGUUUUGGACACGAUGUGUUUUUGAGAGGAAGAGUAACGUUACUUUUUAUUUCAGAUUUAUUCCUGUACAUGUGAGGACUAAACCUGCUAAACACAGGAGCCGGGAUUGAUGACAGAAUGCUUCAAACACAUUUUACACAGUUACCACCAUUAUUAGUACUUCAGUACAUUAAAAAAAAUAAAAAA